ACCUCUACGUGAUACUGCGACGUGUCCGUCAAACUGUUGAUGCUGUUUUUGGUGAAGUGUUUUCUUUGUUCUGCAACGAGAGGUCAAGAGGUCAAAUGACGUUCUUGUGUGAACAAACAACAAAGAAAAAACCAAAGGAAAAUAAAUGUCCUCCGAUUCUGUUCAUGUGAAAAAUGAGACGAGACGCCGAGGUUUGAUGGGACUGAAUUAUUGACGACAUCAACAAACGCUGAUGACGGUUCACAACAAUCACCGGGACUCAAACUAUCGAUUGAUCUGGACUAGAGUGGGCGGAGUCAGAGUCAUCUCUGAUGUGACGUCAACAUUUGCUGUUGGAUGUGGAAUGAGACUCGUAUAACAUUUAUAGUUUUUUUCCCUCCAUGCUGACAUUUGAAAUACGGACAAAAAACACAGACGAUUCUGAUUGGUCAGAACGACACAUACUUGAUGU